rnacentral:rRNA from 1 species
GACGAACGCUGGCGGCGUGCUUAACACAUGCAAGUCGAACGGAAAGGCCCUGCUUUUGUGGGGUGCUCGAGUGGCGAACGGGUGAGUAAAACGUGAGUAUCCUGCCCUUGACUUUGGGAUAACUUCAGGAAAAUGGGGCUAAUACCGGAUAGGAGCUCCUGCUGCAUGGUGGGGGUUGGAAAGUUUCGGCGGUUGGGGAUGGACUCGCGGCUUAUCCGCUUGUUGGUGGGGUAGUGGCAUACCAAGGCUUUGACGGGUAGCCGGCCUGAGAGGGUGACCGGCCACAUUGGGACUGAGAUACGGCCCAGACUCCUACGGGAGGCAGCAGUGGGGAAUAUUGCACAAUGGGCGGAAGCCUGAUGCAGCAACGCCGCGUGCGGGAUGACGGCCUUCGGGUUGUAAACCGCUUUCGCCUGUGACGAAGCGUGAGUGACGGUAAUGGGUAAAGAAGCACCGGCUAACUACGUG